UACGUAGGGGGCAAGCGUUGUCCGGAAUCAUUGGGCGUAAAGCGCGCGUAGGCGGUCCGAUAAGUCGGCUGUGAAAGUCAAGGGCUCAACCCUUGAAAGCCGGCCGAUACUGUCGGACUAGAGUCCGGAAGAGGCGAGUGGAAUUCCCGGUGUAGCGGUGAAAUGCGCAGAUAUCGGGAGGAACACCAAUGGCGAAGGCAGCUCGCUGGGACGGUA
rnacentral:rRNA from 1 species